rnacentral:rRNA from 1 species
AUCAACUUUCGAUGGUAGGAUAGAGGCCUACCAUGGUGGUAACGGGUAACGGGGUGUUAGGGCACGACACCGGAGAGGGAGCCUGAGAAACGGCUACCACAUCCAAGGAUGGCGGCAGGCGCGCAAAUUACCCAAUCCCGACACGGGGAGGUAGUGACAAUAAAUAACAAUACGGGGUUCUUUCGGAUCUCGUAAUUGGAAUGAGUACAAUUUAAAUCUCUUAACGAGGAACAAUUGGAGGGCAAGUCUGGUGCCAGCAGCCGCGGUAAUUCCAGCUCCAAUAGCGUAUAUUAAAGUUGUUGCAGUUAAAAAGCUCGUAGUUGAAUUUCGGGAUCAGAUUGUCGGUCGUGCCUCGGUACGCACUGGCAUUAUUGGUUCCUACCUUCUGAAGAACCGCGAUGUCAUUAAUUUGGUGUCGCGGGGAAUCAGGACUGUUACUUUGAAAAAAUUAGAGUGUUUAAAGCAGGCGCACGCUUGAAUACAUUAGCAUGGAAUAAUGAAAUAGGACGUUUGAUUCUAUUUUGUUGGUUUCUAGGAUCGACGUAAUGAUUAAUAGGGAUAGUUGGGGGCAUUAGUAUUCAAUUGUCAGAGGUGAAAUUCUUGGAUUUAUUGAAGACUAACUACUGCGAAAGCAUUUGCCAAGGAUGUUUUCAUUAAUCAAGAACGAAAGUUAGGGGAUCGAAGACGAUCAGAUACCGUCGUAGUCUUAACCAUAAACUAUGCCGACUAGGGGUCGGAUGAUGUUAAUUUUUUAAUGACUCAUUCGGCGCCUUACGGGAAACCAAAGUGUUUGGGUUC